GGAGCGCGGCGGGCUCCGAGCGGCCGGAACGGGAGCAGGAACGCGGCGGGGAUCGGAGCGGCAGCGGGGCAACGGGAUCGGAGGGCGCAGCCGGGAGUAAAGCGGGGCUUUAAUCAGCCUGCGGCACCGCUCCGCUCGCCGAGCCGUGCCGGGGAGCCGCGCUCCGCUCCUGCCGCGGCGAGGAGGUUUGGGCGGCCCCAAAUCCUCCACACUGGGGGCAGCGUCCCCGACAGCCGCGCCUGACCCUGACAGCUCCGGGAAACCUGGCCGAGAGAGGCGGGGAAUUGCCGACCUCGACCUUUCCGGCCGCUCGGGGGCCGGACCGCAGGACAGCGGCGCCGGGCGCUGAACUCGCCCCGACCCGGUCGCGCUGAGGCGGGGUCCGAGCGCGGGGCCGCCCGGGGAGCGCCCCCGCCCCAGGGACCGGCCCCGCACUCGCGGCCCCUCAUCCGCACCCGGGCUCGGUCCGUCCCCGCACCGCCGAAACGAGUUCGCAUUCGCGCUGCAUGUAAGAGAAACACGAGCAGCUCCCCGAAAACGGGGAAGAACCGUAAGAACCGGGCGCCCCCACAACCGCAUCCCCAAGCGCUUUUCUUUGAGGCUUUCAGAAACUUAGUCCGGCAGCGCAGCGCAGACACGCGAACUGGUUUAACCCUUGCGUACAUUUAUUACCAGUGACCCGCUCAAGCGAGCUCACCCCAGGCAAAGGGUAGAACUCAUCUGAGCAUGUCUCAUUAGGGAAGCUCGUUUACAUCCCAGUCUCCCAGACUGUUUAACUUGCAUGCAACUUGGCUUCAUAACCUCUCUGGGACCAGAAAUUCUGUCUGUUUUGCAAAUGGGUAAUGCAGUGGAAGACAGCUGCUGAGGAGAAUGAGACUUGUUUUUUUUAGGAAGGCACUUUCAGUUUACGCUGCAGAAUACCAAGAGAUGAGAUACUACUGCAUUUAAUAUCGUGUUCCUGUUACUAUUCAACAGAAUCUGCACUGCCCCCUCACUGGUAUCGGCACCACUGCUUAUGGAGCUGCACUGAGUAGCGGGUGGGAAUGCCAUCACAUACAUUAACAACUCCGGCAGAAGCCUAACAGAAAAGCCACCCGGAAAGAUCCGUGUUGGAAUUCAUAUGUCCCCACUAUCUGCAGUUUACUACCCUCUUUCUUCAUGUGAUCCAGUUUGUGAAAGCUGCAGAAUACAACAGUCUGAACGAUAAAAGCUGUGCAAAAAGGAUUUGGAAAUGAUACAACUAUAUAUGCAAUUUAAUACACACCCAAAAUAGUAACACUGUCAUGUACUAUAAUUUAAAACUUUUGCCUACAAGACUAGUGCCUGAACUAGGCUAUAAAUGAAUGAGUUCUUAUUUGCUUUCAGACUGAUUACAUAUCACUGUGUAUGGGUGGGGUGUUAUAAUUUCAAGUACAUAUAUAACAGGCAAUGUUUUUUUCCACAAGUGAAAGGAUCUAUAUGCCAGUUUAAUGGUGUAAUCUUCUCUGGGGAUGUCUUUUCAGUUAUACAUACUCAAAAGUCAAGUCCAGCAUCCUCAGGGAAACUAAGCUGAACCUCAACUUUUUGAUUAUGCCACUGAGCCAUAUCUAAAAGAGAAGGAAAAUCACUAGCCAGCAAUCCUCUUACAGAGAAAACACAAAGUAAAGAGAGCAAAAGCUAUAGCGAGAUUCCUACUUUUCCAGCUAUAGCUAAGCUCUUAGAGAUAGUGGAGGCACUUGCCUAUAUAGGAGGACCAGAAAGUGCAAGAGGAAUGAAUGACUUAGGAUUAUUAUUUUACAGAACUCAACAUUUGUCCCAACAUCACCUGGACAGACAGAGCCCAUUUAACCAUUCUCUUGCCUAAAAUGUAUCUGAAAGCACAGAGGGUUUGAGGGAGCUUGUUUUGUAUUGUCAGAAAGGAAUGAGCUUCCUUUAUAUGGCUUGUUCCAGAGAUUCAAGUUCUUAUGUGUCUGGGGAAAACACAUUAUAGUGAAAGCAGUUAUUCUCUUAGAUACAGCAGUGGUAAUGACACAAAUUAUGCAGAGACUCUUCUGUCUUGAAAUUUAUUUUUCCCUGUUUAAAUUUUAAUGGAUUCAGAAAUGUUAUCCUAAGAAUUGCAAGGGUUAAAAGUGAUUUAUGAGUUUCUCCUUUAUGGUUUUAUGUUAAAAUGUGUAAUCCCUCUAAAAUACUGUGCUAGACACACCUUGAAUUCUUGAUUUAGUCAUUUUCACCAGCAACUCAUUUCACAAAAUAAUCUUUUAGGAUUAAGUAGUAAGACAAAGGGGACCAAAAAAAAAAUAAAUCAAAAAAUGUCUGACUUAAUGCUCUGUUUUUGUUUUUGUUUUUUUUUUUUUUAAAUCUUAAUCCAAAACAUUUUGUGUUCUGACAUACAAAACAAUAAUAAUAUUAAAAUCACAAUUUAUUAGGUAAACACAAUUUGAGCUG